GCGUAAUUGGUUUAGUGGUAAAAUUCUCCGUUGCCAUCUAGCAAGGUUCGGGGAGCCCUGGGUUCGAUUCCCAGAUUACGCA
rnacentral:tRNA from 1 species